rnacentral:rRNA from 1 species
GAUGAACGCUGGCGGCGUGCCUAAUACAUGCAAGUCGAGCGAACAGACGAGGAGCUUGCUCCUCUGACGUUAGCGGCGGACGGGUGAGUAACACGUGGAUAACCUACCUAUAAGACUGGGAUAACUUCGGGAAACCGGAGCUAAUACCGGAUAAUAUAUUGAACCGCAUGGUUCAAUAGUGAAAGACGGUUUUGCUGUCACUUAUAGAUGGAUCCGCGCCGCAUUAGCUAGUUGGUAAGGUAACGGCUUACCAAGGCAACGAUGCGUAGCCGACCUGAGAGGGUGGUCGGCCACACUGGAACUGGGACACGGUCCAUACUCCUACGGGAGGCAGCAGUAGGGAAUCUUCCGCAAUGGGCGAAAGCCUGACGGAGCAACGCCGCGUGAGUGAUGAAGGUCUUCGGAUCGUAAAACUCUGUUAUUAGGGAAGAACAAAUGUGUAAGUAACUAUGCACGUCUUGACGGUACCUAAUCAGAAAGCCACGGCUAACUACGUG